rnacentral:rRNA from 1 species
AGUCGAACGAACCUUCGGGUUAGUGGCGGACGGGUGAGUAACGCGUGGGAAUCUGCCCUCAGGAGGGGGAUAACGGUUGGAAACGGCCGCUAAUACCCCAUAUGCCGAGAGGUGAAAUGAAUUUCGCCUGAGGAUGAGCCCGCGUCUGAUUAGCUAGUUGGUGAGGUAAGAGCUCACCAAGGCAUCGAUCAGUAGCUGGUCUGAGAGGAUGAUCAGCCACACUGGGACUGAGACACGGCCCAGACUCCUACGGGAGGCAGCAGUGGGGAAUUUUCCGCAAUGGGCGAAAGCCUGACGGAGCAACGCCGCGUGAGGGAUGAAGGCCUCUGGGCUGUAAACCUCUUUUAUCAAGGAAGAAGAUCUGACGGUACUUGAUGAAUAAGCCACGGCUAAUUCCGUGCCAGCAGCCGCGGUAAUACGGGAGUGGCAAGCGUUAUCCGGAAUUAUUGGGCGUAAAGCGUCCGCAGGCGGCCCAACAAGUCUGCUGUUAAAAAGUGGAGCUUAACUCCAUCAUGGCAGUGGAAACUGUUGGGCUCGAGUGUGGUAGGGGCAGAGGGAAUUCCCGGUGUGGCGGUGAAAUGCGUAGAUAUCGGGAAGAACACCAGUGGCGAAGGCGCUCUGCUGGGCCAUCACUGACGCUCAUGGACGAAAGCCAGGGGAGCGAAAGGGAUUAGAUACCCCUGUAGUCCUGGCCGUAAACGAUGAACACUAGGUGUCGGGGGAAUCGACCCC